rnacentral:misc_RNA from 1 species
AACGCACCUUGCGCUCCUUGGUAUUCCGAGGAGCAUGCCUGUUUGAGUGUCAUUAAAUUCUCAACCUUAUUAGCUUUUGUUAAUAAUGGCUUGGAUGUGGGGGUUUAUUUGCUGGCUUCUUUAUGAGAAAUCAGCUCCCCUUAAAUGCAUUAGCUGGUUGCCUAGUGCAGACUUGUCUAUUGGUGUGAUAAUUAUCUACGCCGUGGACUUUCUGCCAGUAUUUAGCACCGCUUCUAACUGUCUAUUUACUUGGACAAUAUAUAUGACAAUUUGACCUCAAAUCAGGUAGGACUACCCGCUGAACUUAA